UUUCAAUUUCACACUGAAAAGUGUUAUGCUUUUUUAAUUUUCUGAUAGUCCCUUGCCUCUGUCGGCCACUUUGCAGGAUAGAUAUCUGCCCAAGAAGUUAAUUUAAAUGACUUUUGAGGAUGGUGAUUGAUCCAUUGCAUACUAAAUAACUUUCCAAGCCUAAUAUGAAGUGCCACAGCAGAAAGAAUAAGAAUAUGUUAUGAGCUCUUCCAAAUCACUCCCCUAUUGUAGCUAUCUAUUAUCAAUCUAAUUAUGUAAGCGCUGUUCGUUUCAUGGCUCUCACCUUAAUCCCACACAGAAUACCGAAUGUAGUCACUGUCAAAACCACUAAUCUUACAAUAAAUGCACUGCAGUGUUGCAUGCUGAAUUUGAAUACUUACGAUUCAUUUUUCAAGGGCUUUAGGCUCAUAUUCAAAAUAUAUAAAAACAAAAAAGCGGUUUGUUUAUUGUUUUGCUUUGGAUUCUCAGAGAUCACAGAGGCUGAGGCAGGUUUUCUUUUGUUUACCGAGGAAGAUCACAGCCUGGGUCAUAUUAGAGAUGUUUACUCCUCCUGUCAAAGGAUAAGUUGUAAAUUUUAGCUCACAGGAAAUGAAAGAUGUAGUGGCAUGCUGAGUACAGACACCAAAGUAAUGUCACCUUGAGUGAGCACUUCUCUUGUCUGGACUGGCAGGUGAUAUCAGAGGAUAAACUCCAUUUUGACCUUGUGUUCACUCAUCUCAACAAAAACACAGGAGAAGAACAGCAUUUAAAAAAAAGAAAAAAAGAAACACCCGUCACAUUUCAAAUAUUAUUGCUUCAGUCAUGGCUGCCGAUAACGGCGCUUCAUUCUGUCUGGAGCAACGGAGCAAUGUCUAGGCUUGAUGUUAACGUUGUUUAUUAAAAAUGCAAAAAAAAAAAAAAAAAGAAAAGAAGAAGAAUUAAAAAAACAACAACUACUAAACAUAUCUUCAUUAACAUUCACUCCCGUGUAGGUGUGAUUGAUUCCAUCAUCAACCAAGUUAUUUUCGUGACCAGCAUAGGAACAUCAAACACCAUGACCUCCAUUAUUUCCCCUUUGAAAUUGCAUUCACUUUAUUCACCUUUGUGGCUCUCCAAUACCUUGAAUCAUUUCUCCUGGGAGGUGUUUUUUUCUAACCUGCUGCUUCUCUGCCAGUCCUAAGAGCAGUGUAACCAGCAAUUCUCUCACACUGUAUGUGGGACACUUGAGCUAAGAGUGAGAUGAGACAUCUGGCACAACCUUCCCGAGACUGUGCACUAGAUUCAGCUCAGUGAAAUUUAGACAGAGACCCCCAAAAUAAAGUAGCACACAUGUUAUAUUUAUCUUGAUAAUAUAUGGCUCUUCUGUGGCAGGAUUCAAAUUCACUCUUUGAUACUGAGUUCUGUGUCUGUGGAAAAAGAUGCAAAUAGAUUUAAACAUUUAUAUGUCUUUGUAAGUUAUUCUGGGCCUAUGCACCUCUAACGUCUCACUAAAUAAAUAGGAGUUAGAAAAAAUAGAAUGAACCUGGAAAAAAAAAAUCUGACUUCUUUCCAGGAGUUAGAGGAAAACUUACUCACCACUCGUGUCUGUGCUCUAAGAGUGGAUCUGAAGCCAGGUGGAAGUUAGAUUAGCUUAGCAUAAAGGCUUUUACCACUGGGGAAAGAGAUGCCCUAGAUAUCACCAAAGCAAAUUGUGUGCCUGCCACCUCUUUAAAGCCCACUAAUUAUCAGAUUUUGUUUGUUUAAUAUCUACACAAAAUGAAAUCUGCUAAUGAGAAUCAAUCAUUUUGGUAAUUACAAGCAAGGUUUGCUUGGUUAUCUGAAGUCUUGUCAUCGCAAUCAAGAUUAGACUCCAACCAGUAGGGACACUGCGCACAAUACAACUCCACCUGCAACAAAAUUUAUGUGCAAUUUUAAGCUCAUUCUUUGUGUAUAGAUAAAACAAAUGAGAUAUAUUGUGUUAUUCCCUGAGCUUUAGAAGUCUUGAUAGGCUUAUAUCAGAUCUAGCCGAACUGUUUUUUUUUCUUUCCUGCUCCACAUGUAUCGACACGAUAAGAGUGGUACUGAUCUUUUCUUUUCUUUUUUCUCUUAAAAUGUUUGCACCAGUAGGAUUACUGAUGCGCUUAUGUAAUAUGCCCAUCUAUGAGCACUCCAUAACUUUUUGCCCUUUUCAAAGUGCUUUUCACUUCUGUCUUUAUUAGCAAAUACAAUACACUUUUCUUCGUAGUUCUCAUACUGGUUCAGUUGUCGUGUAAUUGAAGAAAUUACAUCUUGGUGUAAGAUGCUUGAUGAUGGCCUUCUUAAGCUUUAUCCACUCAUCUAUUACUUUCUGGUUAAAAACACAAAACAAAACAAAAAAAACCUUGGUUACAUUGCAGUUUGAUGCUGGACUUUGUAGUGGUUUUCGUAUUUUGAGUGUGUGUGCACCUGGAGAGGUGUGCUCUUCUUAUUCUUUUCUUUUCUUUUUUUUCCCAGCUCUUGUUCUGGCUCCUUACCAUUUCCUGUAGUCUCCCCUACAGCUGUCCCAAGGGUUUUCAUACACCAUCCCUUGAGUUAAAAACAUCAGUUUUAACUUAAGGGGUAUCUUCUCCUUGGAGUGUACUUGGAAAGAUGUUAAUGUGUAAGCGCAGGCUGGCAGGAUACUUAUAGCUUCAAGACUUUGACUAGAUAUUCUUACAUUACAAUAGGAAAGAAUGACUUCAAUUGAGCAGACAGCCUUGUUCAAAGCCUGAAUCAAAAUGUCCAAAUCUGUGAUAUUCCCA
ensembl:lncRNA